rnacentral:rRNA from 1 species
CCUACGGGAGGCAGCAGUGAGGAAUAUUGGUCAAUGGACGAGAGUCUGAACCAGCCAAGUAGCGUGAAGGAUGACUGCCCUAUGGGUUGUAAACUUCUUUUAUAUGGGAAUAAAAUGUUCCACGUGUGGGAUUUUGUCUGUACCAUAUGAAUAAGGAACGGCUAACUCCGCGCCAGCAGCCGCGGUAAUACGGAGGGUCCGAGCGUUAACCGGAAUUAUUGGGUUUAAAGGGCGCGUAGGUGGAUUGUUAAGGCAGUUGUGAAAGUUUGCGGCUUAACCGUAAAAUUGCAAUUGAUACUGGCAGCCUUGAGUACAGUUGAGGUAGGCGGAAUUCGUGGUGUAGCGGUGAAAUGCUUAGAGAUCACGAAGAACUCCGAUUGCGAAGGCAGCUUACUAAACUGCCACUGACAUUGAUGCUCGAAAGUGUGGGUAGCAAACAGGAUUAGAUACCCCAGUAGUG